CACAACAAUAAAAUUUUCUUGUUGAAAGAGAUCUAUUGUUAACUCGUGCGAUUAUUUAUUGCGAGUGGUUUUUCGUGUUUUGCUUCAUUUGCAGCGAUUAUUUAAUAUUUUAUUUACGAACAUGAAGAUGAAGAUUUUAGUCGCAGUGUUAUGUUGGUUUUCCUUUUUAAAUUUCAUCGUAAUUUGCUUUCUUUCUUCUCGGCUGAUAGCCAAGCUUUAUGGAAAUUUUAUAGAAGUAAACAUGGCCUCUUCUGCAUACAGAACUUUACCAGAU